AUGCUGAAUCAGAAAGAGGCUCUCAGGAACAGGGCAGUAAGACAUCAUAACGGAGGUCUAACAGAGUGCAUGCUUAUUUAUAUCUAGUAGUGACAUUAAUUAGCUGUUUGUAUGGAUAGAUCUAUACUUGUGAAAGUGCUUUCAAACUUUUGUUGUUUAUUGUUGAAUAUGUUCAAAGAUGGGUGUUGAAUGAUUAUUUAUUUUAUAUUUUUUGCAUAUCUUCGAGAGCUGCUGAAACAAUAAAGUGGUGACGCAAUUU
rnacentral:misc_RNA from 1 species